rnacentral:rRNA from 1 species
GGUUCGAUCCUGCCUGAUUGAACGCUGGCGGGGAUGCUUUUACCACGGUCGAACGGCAGCACGGACUUCGGUCUGGUGGCGAGUGGCGAACGGUGAGUAAUGUCGGAACGUGCUCUAGUAGCGGGGGGAUCUGCUGAAAGCGGGCCAAUACCGCAUACCGCUCCUGGGGGAAAGCGGGGACUUCGGGCCUCGCACUAUUAGAGCGGGCUGUAUACUGGAUGAAGUUGGUGGGGUAACGGCUCACCAAGGCGACGAUCCGCCGGUUUGAGAGGACGAUCAGCCACUGGGACCGAGACACGGCCCAGACUCCUACGGGAGGCAGCAGUGGGGAAUUUUGGACAAUGGGGGAAACCCUGAUCCAGCCAUCCCCAGCGUGUGCGAUGAAGGCCUUCGGGUUGUAAAGCACUUUUGGCAGGAAGAAACGGCACGGAUACCCCGUGCAACUGAUUUGCGCCUGCAGAAUAAGCACCGGCUGGCACCGCCGCGUGCCAGCAGCCGCGGUAAUAUGCAGGGUGCAAGCGUUAAUCGGAAUUACUGGCGCAGCGUGCGGCGUGUCUGAAAGAAAGAUGUGAACCAGAGCUUAACCUGAACUGCAUUUUUAACUACCGAGAUAGAGUGUGCUGAGGGAGGAAUUUCGCGUAGCAGUGAAAUGCGUAGAUAUGCGGAGGAACACCGAUGGCGAAGGCAGCCUCCUGAUAACACUGACGCUUCAUGCACGAAAGCGUGGAGCAAACAGGAUGAUACCCUGGUAGUCCACGCCUCAUAAACGAUGUCAACUAGCCGUUGGGGCCUGGCCUUUGGUAGCGCAGCUAACGCGUGAAGUUGACCGCCUGGGGAGUAUGGUCGUGAUUAAAACCCAAAGGAAUUGACGGGGACCCCGCACAAGCGGUGGAUGAUGUGGAUCAAUCUUGAUGCAACGCGAAAACCUUACCUACCUUGACAUGUCUGAAUCCCGAAGAGAUUUGGGAGUGCUCGCAAAGAGAACCGAACACAGGUGCGCCGCUGUCGUCAGUUUCGUGCCGAGAUGUUGGGUUAAGUCCUGCAACGCGCAAACUCCUUGUCAUUAGUUGCUACGAAAGGGCACUCUCAUCGAGACUGCCGGUGACGUGUAAACCGGAGGAAGGUGGGGAUGACGUCAAGUCCUCAUGGCCCUUAUGGGUAGGGCUUCACACGUCGCAAUGAGUCAGCCAACCCGCGAGGGGGAGCCAAUCCCAGAAACCCGAUCGUAGUCCGGAUCGCAGUCUGCAAUCCCUGACUGCGUGUCGGAAUCGCUAGUAAUCGCGGAUCAGCAUGUCGCGGUGAAUACGUUCCCGGGUCUUGUACACACCGCCCGUCACACCAUGGGAGGGUUUUACCAGAAGUAGUUAGCCUUAACUCGUAAGGAGGGCGAUUACCACGGUAGGAUUCGGCGACUGGGGCGAGUCGUAACAAGGUAGCUCAUUACCUGAUGCCCUUG